ensembl:lncRNA
UUUUUUUUUUUUUUUUUUUUUCCAGCCCUGCCCACUCUGCUGAAUAUCUGUGGGCGUCUCCCUGGCGGGUUGCUUUCUCCGCCGGAGAAUUUAGGGAAUCUUGUCCAGGCUUUCAGGGCUGGUUGGAAUGCACCCUUUUCUCAGUGCCAGCCCUUGAUAGGCGCGAACUAGUUGCACUUGCUGGAUGAGUUAGGGAAAGCCUUCUUAAAGAAGAAAUGCAUGGGUCAGCCGGGAGGAGUUUUUACUUCGACUCAAGUAAAUCUGGAGCCAACAGGAGAGUGGGCUGAGAGGAUAUAGAAGUUUCCACUACAACCUACACCACAGCUGUGGCAGCACUGGAUCCUUUAACCCACUGUGCCCAUCAGGGAUUGAACCCACACCUCCCCAUUGACCAGAGCCGCUACAGUCAGAUUCUUAACUCACUGUACCACAGCGGGAACUCCAGCAGUGGCAUUUUUGAGAACUACAAGGGCCUGGGAAGUAAGAGACUCUCAAUCAGUGGUCUUAAAAGUAUACCUACUAUCAAGUGGGGAUCAGCAGAAACACUGGCAGUAUGGGUGCCCGCACACUUGACAUCUUUUCAAAGUUUGGGAGUGUGUUCAGAUAAGAGGAAUUAGUGUGGUGGUACAUCUGGAAAUCAACUCCUGGGAAGAAGGAAUGAUACAAAAAUAAAGUCAUUGGCCUGGAGAAGAGCAGACUGCUGGAAGCUACAGGAGCUAUUAACAAGGAACAAAGGCUUUCCCCCGUUGCUCUCUAAAGCAGAUGAGAAAGCACUAGAUGGAGGCACAGAGCAACAGAUUUCUGAUUUCAACUCAAUGUACAAAAUACUUUUUAAUCUCUAGAACUGUUCAACAAUAGAACAACCUACCUUAAUGAAAUAAAUGUUUCUCUAUGUAAAUACACAGAGAAAAGCUGAUUAUAGAAAGGAGUCUAGAAUUGGGGGCAGGGGGACGAGGGGAGUUGGAGGAGAGCUGUAUCUGGGUUCUAAGAUUUCUUUGACCCCAACAUUCCCUGUCUUUCUAACACAUGAAGCAUCAGUAGAAAAGACAAAAAUGGUCAAAGCUUUAAAGUUUCACAGGGAAAGUGCUUUCAAGGGAAAAAGUGGAAGCCAGAGACCAGGCAACAGUGAAUGUUAACCCCAGAGGGCCUGGCUAACAUGAAAGAAUUCAUUGCUAGUCAUUUGCACCCAGUGGGGAGUGGAUGGAACAGGAAGUGUCCUGCUGCCAACAGGGGAUGCUGCAGAAGGCAAUGAGGGGACACCUGGAGCCACAAACGGACACAGCUUCUACCCUCAAGAAGCUUGCUCUCUAGCAAGGGAUUCUGCGAUUGAGCAAAUAAUUUCAAGUAGAGACAACAGUCCACACACAGUGUGAUAGAGCAUAGAGCAGUGGCUUUGAGGUCAGAUGGCUCUGCAUUCAAAGCUCUGCUCUCUCAUUGUAGCUGUGUUACAUUCAUCAAGUUUCCCUCUCUCUGUGUGUCUGUCUGUCUCUCUCCACAGUCUGAUAUCUUCACCUAUUAAGGGUUAGUGAGAGGAUUAAAUGAGAUCCUUUUGGAAAAGCAUGUAACACUGGUAAAAAGGAGGUACUCAAUUCUAUUUGAUAAAUGCACAGAAAAACACAUCCCUUUUUCUCUGCCAUCUGUCUUCUUGUGCCCCUGCUGCCUUUCCAGGCAAUCAUUUUGGUUCUAACUUCCUGCCCCCCCCUUCAACUACUGAAUGUGGUACCAAUGGAGUCAACCCAGCUCACUAACU